rnacentral:rRNA from 1 species
AUUGAACGCUGGCGGCAGGCCUAACACAUGCAAGUCGAACGGUAACAGGAAGCAGCUUGCUUCUUUGCUGACGAGUGGCGGACGGGUGAGUAAUGUCUGGGAAACUGCCUGAUGGAGGGGGAUAACUACUGGAAACGGUAGCUAAUACCGCAUAACGUCGCAAGACCAAAGAGGGGGACCUUCGGGCCUCUUGCCAUCGGAUGUGCCCAGAUGGGAUUAGCUAGUAGGUGGGGUAACGGCUCACCUAGGCGACGAUCCCUAGCUGGUCUGAGAGGAUGACCAGCCACACUGGAACUGAGACACGGUCCAGACUCCUACGGGAGGCAGCAGUGGGGAAUAUUGCACAAUGGGCGCAAGCCUGAUGCAGCCAUGCCGCGUGUAUGAAGAAGGCCUUCGGGUUGUAAAGUACUUUCAGCGGGGAGGAAGGGAGUAAAGUUAAUACCUUUGCUCAUUGACGUU